rnacentral:misc_RNA from 1 species
AGAGGGUGUGAGCCGUGAGGGGUUCUCGUCUGUAGUGGACGAGGGCCGGGUGCACAACAACAGGCAAUCGCCAGACACACUAUUGGGCCCUGAGACAACACUCGGCCGACUUCGGUUGAAGUGGUGUCCCUCCAUCUUGGUGGUGGGGUGUGGUGUUUGAGUAUUGAAUAGUGGUUGCGAGCAUAAGGAGGUAC